UAAUGUUGGAGCCAUCUGGCAUAAACAUCUGACACCACAUUGAUCUCCAGGUUGUCUUGGCUGCUCUGCCUGGCCCUCCCGGUGCCUUCAUCUUUCUUCACAACUCCAAGUUGUUCUUUCCACAUCUGCACUUCCUGUGAAGAUGUCAAUCUUCCCACAGAGAGGAGAGCACUUUUCAGUUAAGGGUGUAGGAAGAGCAGAGUAGCUUUUUAGAUCCUCUAAAACCAGAUCUCAAAACCUGUAAAAAAUAUGUUGAUUUUCCCUUAUUUCUAGGAAAGAUGGAUGGUAGGUUGUUUUCAUAUCAU
rfam:Sus scrofa chromosome 8.